UACGGAGGGAGCUAGCGUUAUUCGGAAUUACUGGGCGUAAAGCGCACGUAGGCGGCUUUGUAAGUAAGAGGUGAAAGCCCAGAGCUCAACUCUGGAAUUGCCUUUUAGACUGCAUCGCUUGAAUCAUGGAGAGGUCAGUGGAAUUCCGAGUGUAGAGGUGAAAAUUCGUAGAUAUUCGGAAGAAACACCAGUGGCGAAGGCGGCUGACUGGACAUGUAUUGACGCUGAGGUGCGAAAAGCGUGGGGGAG
rnacentral:rRNA from 1 species